rnacentral:rRNA from 1 species
GAACACUCUGCAGUCGAGAUUCCUACGGGAGGCAGCAGCAGGGAAUAUUGCACAAUGGGCGAAAGCCUGAUGCAGCAACGCCGCGUGAGGGAUGAAGGCCUUCGGGUUGUAAACCUCUUUCAGGAGGGAAGAAAUUGACGGUACCUCCAAAAGAAGCCCCGGCUAACUACGUGCCAGCAGCCGCGGUAAUACGUAGGGGGCGAGCGUUGUCCGGAUUUAUUGGGCGUAAAGGGCUCGUAGGCGGUUCAGUAAGUCGGCUGUGAAAGUCCGGGGCUCAACCCCGGAAAUGCAGUCGAUACUGCUGUGACUAGAAUCAGGUAGAGGAGAAUGGAAUUCCCGGUGUAGCGGUGGAAUGCGCAGAUAUCGGGAGGAACACCAGUAGCGAAGGCGGUUCUCUGGGCCUGUAUUGACGCUGAGGAGCGAAAGCGUGGGGAGCAAACAGGAUUAGAUACCCUGGUAGUCCACGCCGUAAACGUUGGGUACUAGGUGUGGCGAUCCGUCUAACGAUUGCCGUGCCGAAGCUAACGCAUUAAGUACCCCGCCUGGGGAGUACGGCCGCAAGGCUAAAACUCAAAGGAAUUGACGG